rnacentral:rRNA from 1 species
UACGGAGGGGGCUAGCGUUGUUCGGAAUUACUGGGCGUAAAGCGCACGUAGGCGGCUUUGUAAGUUAGAGGUGAAAGCCCGGGGCUCAACUCCGGAACUGCCUUUAAGACUGCAUCGCUUGAAUCCGGGAGAGGUGAGUGGAAUUCCGAGUGUAGAGGUGAAAUUCGUAGAUAUUCGGAAGAACACCAGUGGCGAAGGCGGCUCACUGGACCGGUAUUGACGCUGAGGUGCGAAAGCGUGGGGAGCAAACAGG